rnacentral:misc_RNA from 1 species
GAAAUGCGAUAAGUAGUGUAAAUUACAGAAUUCAGUAAAUCAUCGAAUCUUUGAACGCACAUUGCGCCCCUGGGUAUUCCAUAGGGCAUGCCUGUUCAAGCGUCAUCUACACCCUCAAGCUCUACUUAGUGUUGGGCGUCUAUCCCGCCUUCGCGCGUGGACUCGCCCCAAAUACAUUGGCAGCGGUCCUUGCCCCCUCCCGCGCAGCACAUUGCGCUUCUCGAGGCUACAGCGGCCCGCGUCCAACAAGCUAAACCCCCCCGUCUUUAACCUCGGAUCAGGUAGGGAUACCCACUAAACUUAAGC